UACGAAGGGGGGCUAGCGUUGCUCGGAAUCACUGGGCGUAAAGGGUGCGUAGGCGGGUCUUUUAAGUCAGGGGUGAAAUCCUGGAGCUCAACUCCAGAACUGCCCUUUGAUACUGAAGAUCUUGAGUUCGGGAGAGGUGAGUGGAACUGCGAGUGUAGAGGUGAAAUUCGUAGAUAUUCGCAAGAACACCAGUGGCGAAGGCGGCUCACUGGCCCGAUACUGACGCUGAGGCACGAAAGCGUGGGG
rnacentral:rRNA from 1 species